rnacentral:rRNA from 1 species
UACAGAGGUCUCAAGCGUUGUUCGGAUUCAUUGGGCAUAAAGGGUGCGUAGGUGGCGUGGUAAGUCGGGUGUGAAAUUUCGGAGCUUAACUCCGAAACUGCAUUCGAUACUGCCGUGCUUGAGGACUGGAGAGGAGACUGGAAUUUACGGUGUAGCAGUGAAAUGCGUAGAGAUCGUAAGGAAGACCAGUGGCGAAGGCGGGUCUCUGGACAGUUCCUGACACUGAGGCACGAAGGCCAGGGGAGCAAACGGG